UCGAGAGAAGUACAACAUCGAUGAGUUGCUUGGUCAAUUUUGGAUUGGCCAAAGCUGACUCACCUUCGAAAAUCCGGACAACGAAAAGUGCAGCGAAGCCUAUCAACGGUCUAUCUUUAAUAGAAAUGGCUAGUGCUUUUUCCCGCUCUCUGGUUGGUGGUCACUCACUCGAAGCCACCAUCUAGUUAGGUGUUGAUGGUGCCCAAGACAGCAUUGGUUCAGUCGAAGGUGCCUGAGGUAUUGUUGGCACAGUAAUGGUCGGUUCUGGUUUAGAUGUAGCAACAGACUCUGCCCGACCCCCCAUCGAUGAAACCACGGUUGGCGUUAUCUUGACUGGUAUCGA
rnacentral:lncRNA from 1 species